rnacentral:rRNA from 1 species
GACGAACGCUGGCGGCGUGCCUAAUACAUGCAAGUCGAGCGGACUUUCAAGAAGCUUGCUUUUUGAAAGUUAGCGGCGGACGGGUGAGUAACACGUGGGCAACCUGCCUGUAAGACGGGGAUAACUCCGGGAAACCGGGGCUAAUACCGGAUAAUAUCUUUCUUCGCAUGAAGGAAGGUUGAAAGGCGGCGCAAGCUGCCGCUUGCAGAUGGUCCCGGGGCGCGUUAGCUAGUUGGUGAGGUAACGGCUCACCAAGGCGACGAUGCGUAGCCGACCUGAGAGGGUGAUCGGCCACACUGGGACUGAGGCACGGCCCAGACUCCUACGGGAGGCAGCAGUAGGGAAUCUUCCGCAAUGGACGAAAGUCUGACGGAGCAACGCCGCGUGAGCGAAGAAGGUCUUCGGAUCGUAAAGCUCUGUUGUCAGGGAAGAACAAGUACCGUUCGAAUAGGGCGGUACCUUGACGGUACCUGACCAGAAAGCCACGGCUAACUACGUGCCAGCCGCCGCAGUAA